rnacentral:rRNA from 1 species
AGAGUUUGAUCAUGGCUCAGGACGAACGCUGGCGGCGUGCUUAACACAUGCAAGUGGAGCGACGAACCAGGGCUUGCCCUGGGGCAGAGCCGCGAACGGGUGAGUAACACGUGGGUUACCUGCCUCGAUGACUGGGACAACCCGAGGAAACUCGGGCUAAUACCGGAUGUGCCCGCAAGGGGAAAGGAAGCUUCGGCCUCCGCAUCGAGAUGGGCCCGCGGCCCAUUAGCUUGUUGGUGAGGUAACGGCUCACCAAGGCUCCGAUGGGUAGCUGGUCUGAGAGGACGAUCAGCCACACUGGGACUGAGACACGGCCCAGACUCCUACGGGAGGCAGCAGUGGGGAAUCUUGCGCAAUGCACGAAAGCGUGACGCAGCAACGCCGCGUGGGGGAAGAAGGCUUUCGGGUUGUAAACCCCUUUCAGUUGGGACGAAGCUUCGCCGAUGAAUAGUCGGCUGGAGUGACGGUACCUUCACAAGAAGCACCGGCUAACUACGUGCCAGCAGCCGCGGUA